AGGACCUGAAAGCUUGGGUUGUUUGCUAUAAAAAAGAAAUGGGCCAAAACUCAAGGACUUCUGGAUGAAAUUGGGACAAGUUAAAAGGGAGAAUGCCCUUUGACAGAAUAAUCCCUGUUUUAACUUUGUUUGUAGAAUUCCAACACCUUAAUGUGUGAAUAUUAACACCUUUGUUUGUGGAAUAUCCACACCUUAUGGUGAAUAUUAACACCUUAAUGUGGUCCAUAUUUAAUUUACCCAUUUGUACUUUUGUCCUUUUUUUGUUAUUA